rnacentral:rRNA from 1 species
UACGUAGGGGGCUAGCGUUGUCCGGAUUUAUUGGGCGUAAAGAGCGUGUAGGCGGCCAUGUAGGUCCGGUGUGAAAACUCGAGGCUUAACCUCGAGAUGUCAUCGGAAACCAUUUGGCUAGAGUCCGGAAGAGGAGAGUGGAAUUCCUGGUGUAGCGGUGAAAUGCGCAGAUAUCAGGAGGAACACCAGCAGCGAAGGCGGCGCUCUGGGCUGGAACUGACGCUGAGGAGCGAAAGCGUGGGUAGCAAACAGG